CUCCGCCCCUUCGAUGUGGGUGCCCGUCGGCGAGAUCGGAUCGUCGGCGGGUUAAACGGGAAGUCCGGUCCAGCUGCCUCGCUGCAGUGAAGCCGGCGCUGCCCCCGCAACGGUAGGUGGGGCCUGCGGAUCACAGGCCACUGCGAGACAGCCGUCAUCCGGCGGCCCUCGUGGGAAGGCGGUCCGCACCGGCGCGUCCAGCGCCCCCCACGAGCCCGGAGACCGGCCCACAGCAACCCAUGAAA
rnacentral:ncRNA from 2 species